ACAAAAUUUGCAUUUUUCUCUAUUGAUGUCCUGUCUUGAAAGAAUAUAUUCUGAGUAGAUGAUAGUUAUACAUGUAAACAACUUAUAUAAAGAAUCAACACAAAUAAUACACUAAAACCAUAACAGUACCAAAAAUAUCAUCAUUUUGAUUAGAAUCCAAAUUACUUCUCUAUUAAUGGUUCUAAUCCAACCAUUAACUGCUUUUGCUCUUGACCAUAAGUUAAAAUAAACUAUUAUUUGUUCAAGAUAAAAGCUAUCUUAGAUGAAACCAUGCAAUUUCCUUGUCUGUCUUCUGGUUCACUUUUCCCUUUUUUUUCUUUUUCCUUUUUUUAAAGUUUUUUUUAAUUAAUUAGUUUAUUUAUUUACACUCCAUAUUUUAUCCCACCUCUGCCCACCCUCUGAUUGUUCCACAUCCCUCACCUCCCCUCCAAUCCUCUGAUUUCACAUGGAUGUCCCCAUCCCCCAUCCCAACUGAUGUCUAAACUCCCUGGGGCCUCCAGUCUCUUUAGUGUUAGGGGCAUCAUCUCUGAAUGAACACAAACCCAGCAGUCCUCUACUGUAUGUGUGUUUGGGGUCUCUUAUCAUCUAGUAUAUGCUGCCUGUUUGGUGGUCCAGUGUUUGAGAGCUCUCAGGGAUCUAGGUUAAUUGAGACUGCUGGUCCUCCUAAAGGAUUUCCCUUCUCAGCUUCUUUCAGCCUUCCUCAGCUCAAUAACAGGGUUCAGCUGCUUCUGUCCAUUGGUUGGGUGCAAAUAUCUUCCUCCGACUCUUUCACCUUUCAUGCAUGGCAUAUACUCACUAAUAAGUGAAUGUAAGCUCCCCCUCCCCCCAAAAAGUACAGAAUAUUCAAGAUAUAUUCCCCAGAACUCAGAAAGUUCAACAAGUUUAAGUGACCAAGUGAGGAUGCCUUGGUCCUACUUCAGAGGGAGAAGAAAGCAAUCACAGGUGGGGAGGGAAGUUGGAUAGGAGGGGGAGAAAGUGGGGGAGAGGGGAUCCUGAUCUUGUACUAUGUGAUGGAAAAGGACUGAAGCCCUGAGGGCCAGCAGAAUGAAUGGAAAAGGCAACCUCAGGAGAUAGGAGGUUGGGGGACCCUCCAGAAUGCACCAGAGACCUGGGAGGUGAGAGACAGGAUUUAAAGGGAAGGACCUCUGCUAUAUAGAUCACUGAACACUGAAGAGAGAUGAAAUAGACAUAUGAUUUAGUAUUGAAUUUUCAGAAUUCUUAUUAUCUUGGUGUUAUUUGAUAUCUACAUGUAGAGGCUUCUCUGAUAAGAUUUUUACAAUGUACUGAUGUGUGAUUUAUCAAGGAGUCAUUAGAGUCUUUUUAUUACUAUGUCCAUUUAGCAGAAUAAUUGUUUGAGAUUUUCUCUAUGGAGUAGGACAUAUCUAUGUAGAUUCUUGAUUUCCAAGACAGUGCCAAUUAUGGGUUCCAUCUUGAUGAAUAGGCCUAACUUCC
rnacentral:lncRNA from 1 species